UACGGAAGGUGCAAGCAUUGUUCGGAUUGACUGGGCGUAAAGAGCACGUAGGUGGGUAUAUAAGUCGGAUGUGAAAUCCCCAGGCUCAACCUGGGAACUGCAUUCGAAACUGUAAAUCUUGAAUGUUUGAGAGGUUGGCGGAAUUCCAGGUGUAGGAGUGAAAUCCGUAGAUAUCUGGAGGAACACCGGAGGCGAAGGCG
rnacentral:rRNA from 1 species